AUUGAACGCUGGCGGCAGGCCUAACACAUGCAAGUCGAACGAGUGGCGGACGGGUGAGUAAUGUAUGGGAAACUGCCCGAUGGAGGGGGAUAACUACUGGACACGGUAGCUAAUACCGCAUACCAUCGGAUGUGCCCAGAUGGGAUGAGCUAGUAGGUGGGGUAACGGCUCACCAAGGCGACGAUCCGUAACUGGUCUGAGAGGAUGACCAGCCACACUGGAACUGAGACACGGUCCAGACUCCUACGGGAGGCAGCAGUGGGGAAUAUUGCACAAUGGGCGCAAGCCUGAUGCAGCCAUGCCGCGUGUAUGAAGAAGGCCUUCGGGUUGUAAAGUACUUUCAGCGGGGAGGCGUUACUCGCAGAAGAAGCACCGGCUAACUCCGUGCCAGCAGCCGCGGUAAUUC
rnacentral:rRNA from 1 species